rnacentral:tRNA from 1 species
GCUUUCGUGGUGUAACGGUAGCACACUCGGCGCCUAUUCGAGAAGUCCAGGUUCGAGUCCCACCGAGGGCA